GGGGGAAGAUGAUGCUAGUGUUGGAGGGUUUCCGCCCUUCAGUGCCGCAGCUAACGCAUUAAGCAUUCCGCCUGGGGAGUACGACCGCAAGGUUGAAACUCAAAGGAAUUGACGGGGGCCCGCACAAGCGGUGGAGCAUGUGGUUUAAUUCGAAGCAACGCGAAGAACCUUACCAGGUCUUGACAUCUUUUGAUCACCUGAGAGAUCAGGUUUCCCCUUCGGGGGCAAAAUGACAGGUGGUGCAUGGUUGUCGUCAGCUCGUGUCGUGAGAUGUUGGGUUAAGUCCCGCAACGAGCGCAACCCUUAUGACUAGUUGCCAGCAUUUAGUUGGGCACUCUAGUAAGACUGCCGGUGACAAACCGGAGGAAGGUGGGGAUGACGUCAAAUCAUCAUGCCCCUUAUGACCUGGGCUACACACGUGCUACAAUGGAUGGUACAACGAGUUGCGAGACCGCGAGGUCAAGCUAAUCUCUUAAAGCCAUUCUCAGUUCGGACUGUAGGCUGCAACUCGCCUACACGAAGUCGGAAUCGCUAGUAAUCGCGGAUCAGCACGCCGCGGUGAAUACGUUCCCGGGCCUUGUACACACCGCCCGUCACACCAUGAGAGUUUGUAACACCCGAAGCCGGUGGCGUAACCCUUUUAGGGAGCGAGCCGUCUAAGGUGGGACAAAUGAUUAGGGUGAAGUCGUCAAAGGGUGAACACGAGAGGGGGGAACUCUGGAGCGGAACGUCUGGU
rnacentral:rRNA from 2 species